CCGACCCGAGGGAGCCCCGGCGUCACCCGAGCCCCGCGGACAGAGCGGCGGGGACCGACUCGGCUCUUCCCGUCCGGGUGCAAAGACCCGCUCCGCCUCGGCGAUGCCCCGGGGAACCGGUGCCGGGAAUGCUCCGCCGCGAGAGAUUUCCUGCUGGGCGACGAGGGGAAGCGCCCUCGAAAUCGGCGGCACCGCCCGAUUUUAACCCUUCGAAUGCUGCAGAAGGUGGCGAUUCCUGCAAUUUAACCCCAGAACCUGAGACAACGUGGGCUGUUUACCUCCAUUUAAACUGAUACAAUAGCAAAAAAGGACGCUUUGGAGGGACGGGGAAGAUGAAAUCAAAAGGAAAAAGGAGAAAGCUUCCCCCUGCAAAUCCAUGCACUGGUUCAUCUGCUUGGCUGCUGCUGCUUGACGGAGGUUCAAAGCAGACGUAACUUCCUAGCGAAGAACCAUGGAAACUCAUCAGCUGCAGAGACGAGCAGACGGCCCAAAGAGCGGAAGAGCGAGCACGCCGAUGUGAACCGUAUCGAGACCGCAGUUGACGGCUGAACGCCUUUGAUCCCGCGUGCGAGAGCGAUGAACUUUGGGUUUCGUGUGAAAGAGUAGGAAAAUCGAUAUUGUAAGGCCUCAUUUGUUAAAGCGUGGUGUGAACUGUGUCAAGAUUCAGAAUCCUGCAUGAGAGAUAAAGUCCUUGAAGAUGAAGGUGAAUCAGGUAUCACCCUUGAGCUGUAUCAUUUUGUUGAUCGCUUUAUGAUGCAAUUUCACCUGCGUCGCUUCUUUUAGUUAACUCAAAAGAAAGUGUACCUUAUCUCAGUGAAAAUAGAUUUUUGUAUAAUAUUCAAUUUUUCUUUUUAUUUAGCAUGUUCUAUAUAAAGAGGCAACAUCUUAGUGUAACCUUAUAUCAAUCUUAGUCACACUUGAUUGUGAAGAGUUUGACUCAUGAAAUUUCAGAUGGAUAUUUAUAACAACUCAGCUUUCAAUUCAAGUAGUUUCAGCAGAAACUUUAAAGCAAUUAGACAAAUUAAGCUACCGGUUAAGUUAGCAACCUAGAUCUAUUUCUCUAGCUUUGAGUGGUUAGUUAACGGAUGUUCAAAACUGGAGGCAGAGCGCUCUGUAGAACAGAGCAGCAGUUCUGUUGUUGGUGCAUAGGGCUUGAGAGAAGGAAAAAUAACCCUGAGUCAAAAUUAAUCAAAGAAAAGGUUUGGGUUGAUUUUUUUUUUUUUUUUCUUUUUUUAAGGAGUGGGGCAAAUGUUGGAGUCUGGAAUACAGAGUGCGUACCCUUGUUUCUGAUACUUAGUUAUAAGAUCCAGAAAAACAUUGAAUUUCAUAUAAUAUGAAAUUCAUGAGCAUGUUUUCAUGGUGAUACAUGAAAACAAAUGUUCAAGUUAGAUAGAAAAAGCUAAAAGUGUAAGGGUAUAGAUUAGAAAGUUUUUUUAAAUCACUGGGUGAAAAAGUUUAGAGAACAGGAGACAAGAUGGAGGAUUUAGGGUGUUGUCUCUUGUCCCUUUUUCUUUCUUCUGCAUGUUCUUCUCAGAGAGAUCAGAGAUGUUAAGAGAGACACCGGGGUUUCUGAUAAGCCCCCGGAAGGGAUAAGGCGAGGCACGUACGACACGAGAGGUACGAAAGGCACGGGAGGCACGGUAGAAAAGUGACACGACGCACCCCGGGAUUGCUCUGUCCUGCGCACCUCAGCACUGUGAGCCAAAGUGAGGCUUUCCCUUGAGGUGGCCUAAGGGGACACAGCUUGGACCUCCACAUCUCCAAAGCUGACUCAAGAAUCCUUGGCCACGUGUGCUGACCUAGCACACCGCUUUCAUGCCCCUCUGUAGGUCUUGGACUUCGACUUAGCUCUCAUAUGCGUGGGGACGAGAAGCCACGUGGGGCACAAGGGAAGGCCGCCUCACCGUCUGGCACGUUUCUGGCAGGCUGUUGUCUCUUGGACAGGUACAAUAAAGAAAACCAAAUAUCAGUGCAAGAUCUUAGCAGCACAUCUGUGAAAACCCAACACUCGCGGUCUCCUGACAAUGGCUGGGUCCUUCGCCUGCAUGCUUCAGCCCCGCUGGGAUGCUGAGGCUUGCGGAGCGAAACUCUUCAAGCGGUAUUGCUGUGGAUCCGAACGAACCGCCGCCUUGAUGAGGUUUGGGAGCCUCCCCGGUUGCGGAUGAACGGGGAGCCCGGGGUGGGCCGGGGCUGGAAACCCCUGGUUAUCCCACACAAGCGGGACCUACGUGGCCACUAUCUCUUCUCAACUGGCCCUAGAACACGGUGUACUGCCUGCACCUCUCGGGGUUCUGGCACUCUGCUGCUUUAGGAUUCCUGCCUGCAGCUGCCUCAGGGAAAUGGGAGCACUGUUAGGGCUGCUGUUUAUGGUUGGGGGUGGGGUACAACUGUAUUCUACCGUACCUGUACCCCUUAUUUUGACUGUUUGCUCAGCCUUUUUUUUUUUUUUUGGAACUCUUGUGACAGAUUGAGGGCACUGAGGAGGGACUGCCAAGAUGGAAUCAAAAGGGAAAAGCAGAAAGAUCAGCCCUGCAAAUCCACACUGGCUCACCUGUUGAGCUGCUGUUUCCUGGCAAAAAGCUUUGUCCCUCACCACCUCCUCUGAGCAAUGCUCCAGGUCCAAGUGCAUCCUGGUGCUCCCCCAGACCCUAUGAGAUGCUCUCACCGUCAUGUUGGAGGCUGAGAUACAGACUGUGUGCCCUUGUUUUUAAUAUUUAGUUCUAGGAUUCAAGGAAACACUGAAUUUCAUAUAAUAUGAAAUUCAUGUGCAUGUUUUCAUGGUGACACAUGAAAACAAAUGUUAAAGUUAGAUAGGAAAAGUGUAAAUGUGUAGAUUAGAAAGUUUCUUAAAUCACUGGGUGAAAAAGUAGUUUAGAGAACAGGAGACAAGAUGGAGGAUUUAGGGUGUUGUCUCUUGUCCUUCUUCUUUCUUCUUCAUGUUCUUCUCCUAGGGGUGUUUGGGUAGUAGUAGGUGAUUGGGUAGAAAAUGUCAGAGUGCAGCACACAGGUGUUGGGUCAUUGGGUCACUAAGAAAAAUAAUUUAGUUGGCACCUGUUAAUUGGGUAAAUGGACAUAUAAAAGACCUUGAAGAAGAUCUUUGUUAGCCAUUUUACCCCUUUUCUAUCAUAGUGUACAUAGCUCCUUGUACCUUGUAAUGCUGAUAAGAAAAAAUUAACAACUGAGACCGAACGAGAGAAAACUCACCUCCCUCUCAUCAA